UGACCCCAAGUCAUGCAGGACUACCCGCUGAGUUUAA
rnacentral:rRNA from 1 species